rnacentral:rRNA from 1 species
GGCGUGCCUAAUACAUGCAAGUCGAGCGGACAGAUGGGAGCUUGCUCCCUGAUGUUAGCGGCGGACGGGUGAGUAACACGUGGGUAACCUGCCUGUAAGACUGGGAUAACUCCGGGAAACCGGGGCUAAUACCGGAUGGUUGUUUGAACCGCAUGGUUCAGACAUAAAAGGUGGCUUCGGCUACCACUUACAGAUGGACCCGCGGCGCAUUAGCUAGUUGGUGAGGUAACGGCUCACCAAGGCAACGAUGCGUAGCCGACCUGAGAGGGUGAUCGGCCACACUGGGACUGAGACACGGCCCAGACUCCUACGGGAGGCAGCAGUAGGGAAUCUUCCGCAAUGGACGAAAGUCUGACGGAGCAACGCCGCGUGAGUGAUGAAGGUUUUCGGAUCGUAAAGCUACUGUUGUUAGGGAAGAACAAGUGCCGUUCAAAUAGGGCGGCACCUUGACGGUACCUAACCAGAAAGCCACGGCUAACU